rnacentral:rRNA from 1 species
GACAGAGGGUGCAAACGUUGUUCGGAAUUACUGGGCGUAAAGCGCGUGUAGGCGGCCCUGCAAGUCGGAUGUGAAAUCCCACGGCUCAACCGUGGAAGUGCAUUCGAAACUGCAGGGCUAGAGUCCUGGAGAGGAAGGUGGAAUGCUUGGUGUAGAGGUGAAAUUCGUAGAUAUCAAGCGGAACACCUGUGGCGAAGGCGGCCUUCUGGACGGUGACUGACGCUGAGACGCGAAAGCGUGGGGAGCAAACAGG